rnacentral:misc_RNA from 1 species
CGCAUCACACCCGCGUUCUCUUUAGCACCGACUCAGCCGCAAGCGCGUCUGACCGCUCCGUCGCAAGCGCAUCAAAUCUACACUGAACCCAAAGAGAUGAGCCGGCACACCUGCCUGGCAGCUGCGGCCUUGCUGGCCGUGCUGUGCCUCGCCGACGCCCAGCGAAGACUGGCCCUGCCUGACCCCAGGAGUUGCGCAAACAGAGUGCGUCACUCGACAUACCGCGAUGCCCGGGGAGUUCUACAUUCGUACUUCUUCAGUUGGGAACACACGCCCACAAGGAACUUGGAGGUGGACUGGCUGGACGCUCGGAACAUCUGCCGACGCCAUUGCAUGGACGCCGUGUCACUGGAGACACCACAGGAGAAUGAAUUUAUAAAGCAGAGAAUUGCUCGAGGAAACGUCAGGUAUAUCUGGACUUCAGGUCGCAAGUGCAACUUUGCCGGGUGUGACCGUCCCGACCUGCAGCCCCCCAACGUCAAUGGCUGGUUCUGGUCCGGCUCCGGAGCCAAGAUCGGCCCCACCACACAGCGCAAUACAGGCGACUGGUCCUACACCGGCGGAUUCGGCCAGCCUCAACCUGACAACCGUGAAGCUGCUCAAGGCAAUGACGAGUCGUGCCUGUCGAUCCUGAACAACUUCUACAAUGACGGCAUCAAGUGGCACGACGUGGCGUGUCACCAUGUGAAGCCCUUCGUCUGCGAGGACAGCGAUGAACUACUCAACUUCGUCCGCUCCCGCAACCCCAACCUGCGUCUAUGAAACCUCAACCUCACCUCUCGCCUUCUAGUAUUUUAGAUGGCUGACAUUGUACAAAAACCAAGUGGCUAUCUAUAUUUAAGUUAUUUAUUAAUUUAACAAAUAUACACGUGAAAGCACUUAAGUCUCAAUUAGUGAUGAUUUCAUUCUAUACACUGUGACAGGUAAUGCCGACUAUUAGAGAAUACAAAAUAUUCCGACAAAUCGACGUCUAUUUUUUGUAAAUUUUAAUGAUCUGCCGUCACAUUCUAUGGUAAGUUAUCAUCUCUUUUUUGUAAAAAGUUCUGAUUGCACAGAAUAGGAUUAACAUUAUUAGUGUAAGAAAAACGAAAAUAAAAUUUAUAAAAUUUUUGGUGAUUUUAUUGACGCUUAUACUUAGAACACAAUUCAUACCCAUUCAAAGCGGAUAUAUAACUAACAGCUCAAAAAUAGUAUUAAAUUAAUGAAAAAAUUAUAGUUUUCAUUAUGCUUACUCGAAUUGUUUCGAAUAAAAUACAAAGCAUUAUUUAUUGAGUACAUUUUGCAUGUAUAAAUAGAACAUUAUCAAACUAACAUCAGUCUUUACAAACAAAGUCAAACUUAACACUAAUAGCUACAUCUAUUGAGAAGACGUCCAUGUUAAUAAUAUUUUAAAUGUAAAAUCAACAUUUUGGUUUUUUCCUCUUAACAGUAAAACACGAUUUAUUUUUGUCGCCUAUUUCUUAACUUAAAUAAUACAGCGACAGUAAGCCACAUGCAAUAUGUAUUGCAUGCUCACGGGAUGUAGUUAUCACAUGUUUUUUUAAAUAAUGUUAAUAUUUGCAUACUAAAACAUAAUAAACAGUUUAAGCCUUAGUUAACAAAAACGAUGGCGUAAAAUACAUUUCAAGAGGCACAAGCUGAUAUAAUUAUUUGAACACGAAAUUUUGUAUAAAAACCAUCUAAAAUUAAAUACAAAUUGAGACCAAGAAAAACGUUAAAAAAUAGAUACAUUGUUCUCGGGCACCAAUCUAACCCUAGUUAUCUUCUUCUAUCUUGAAGUUAUAUACUUAACAACAUGCGAUAAGAUUUAAUACGAGUUUGUAUUCCAAAUGCAGAUCUCGUUACCAAUAAAAACCAAUAAUAAAAUAUAUUUAAAAGUAAGUUGGUGCCCGCGGCUUCGUACGCGUGGAAGUCUCAUGGUUUGCAGGUAUAAAUAUCAAUGUGCGUGCAAAUGUCAUUCUAUAAUGAUAUGAGGAAGAAUUUUCAAAAUUUAGAUAAAAUGCCUAGUAACUUAGCUGAAUGGAUAGCAUUCAUAACAUGAAAACAUGGUUAUACGAUACAAUAAAUUGAAAACAAAUUUACAAAUCAAUUAGGCUGAGAGGAGAAAGGGCGAGUCAGCGAAUAAUAUACUGCACUGGAUGUGCGGAGUAUAUGUAGAAGAGUGAUAGCAAUAGCUUCAUUAAAUCCUUAACGGAUUCGUCAAGUCUGUUAAUACCGUUUUUACAUAGGGGUAUUUCCGUAAAAAUACUAAUCCUUCGAGUUAAAUUAAUAUGUAGGUACUAUGUAUAAAUAAGUUUGGUCUACUUUUUACAGAUAGCUGUCAGAAACCUGUUGUUUGUGCUUCGAUCAUUAAAUGUCUUCAAUGUCUCUCUCUUAAAAAUCGACACCCAAAGAAUUUUAGGUAAAAACUGCUAGCCACUAUAAGGAGUCAAAAUUGACAUCUAAUAGUUUUGUAUUUUUAAAAUUGCGAAAUCUGGUGUAUUAUGUAUGCUUUAAUAUUUUUCAAAAUCAAUAAAUUCAACACCUAAUGUUAAAAGUUUUUCACUUCUAAGUAUGUAGGUAUAUUAGGCCGUAAGACAGGCGACGUCGUGGAGUAUGUCGUGCAGCAGCGGCUUGUCCCGCAGCGCGGCCGCCAG